GACGAACGCUGGCGGCGUGCUUAACACAUGCAAGUGGAGCGACGAACCAGGCUUCGGCCUGGGGCAGAGCCGCGAACGGGUGAGUAACACGUGGGUAACCUGCCUCGAUGACCGGGACAACCCGAGGAACCGGGCUAAUACCGGAUGUGCUCCUUCACAUCAGUGAAGACAGGAAAGGAAGCUUCGGCCUCCGCAUCGAGAUGGGCCCGCGGCCAUUAGCUUGUUGGUGAGGAACGGCUCACCAAGGCUGCGAUGGGUAGCUGGUCUGAGAGGACGAUCAGCCACACUGGGACUGAGACACGGCCCAGACUCCUACGGGAGGCAGCAGUGGGGAAUCUUGCGCAAUGCGCGAAAGCGUGACGCAGCAACGCCGCGUGGGG
rnacentral:rRNA from 1 species